CCGGACCUAGCGGCGGACGGGUGAGUAAUGCUUAGGAAUCUGCCUAUUAGUGGGGGACAACAUCUCGAAAGGGAUGCUAAUACCGCAUACGUCCUACGGGAGAAAGCAGGGGAUCUUCGGACCUUGCGCUAAUAGAUGAGCCUAAGUCGGAUUAGCUAGUUGGUGGGGUAAAGGCCUACCAAGGCGACGAUCUGUAGCGGGUCUGAGAGGAUGAUCCGCCACACUGGGACUGAGACACGGCCCAGACUCCUACGGGAGGCAGCAGUGGGGAAUAUUGGACAAUGGGGGGAACCCUGAUCCAGCCAUGCCGCGUGUGUGAAGAAGGCCUUAUGGUUGUAAAGCACUUUAAGCGAGGAGGAGGCUACUUUAGUUAAUACCUAGAGAUAGUGGACGUUACUCGCAAAAUAAGCACCGGCUAACUCUGUGCCAGCAGCCGCGGUAAUACAGAGGGGGCGAGCGUUAAUCGGAUUUACUGGGCGUAAAGCGUGCGUAGGCGGCUUAUUAAGUCGGAUGUGAAAUCCCCGAGCUUAACUUGGGAAUUGCAUUCCAUACUGGUGAGCUAGAGUAUGGGAGAGGAUGGUAGAAUUCCAGGUGUAGCGGUGAAAUGCGUAAAGAUCUGGAGGAAUACCGAUGGCGAAGGCAGCCAUCUGGCCUAA
rnacentral:rRNA from 1 species